AUUCGCCGGAGCGCCCCAGCAGGGGCCGCCGAGGCAGCAGGACAACACCGUGUCCCGGGAAGAAACCCGGCACAUCAGGGCGUU
rnacentral:sRNA from 1 species